AAAUUCUAGUCGAUUUGUCUUUUUCCGCUUACUGGCGUUUAAUUCAAACAACGACAGGAAAGGGAAAAAGGCGUAUUUACUAUGAGUUU
rfam:Drosophila ananassae strain TSC#14024-0371.13 Ctg01_19298, whole genome shotgun sequence.